rnacentral:rRNA from 1 species
AUUGAACGCUGGCGGCAGGCCUAACACAUGCAAGUCGAACGAGAGGCGGACGGGUGAGCAAUGAUUGGGCAUCUAGCUUAUGGAGGGGGAUAACUACGGGAAACUGUAGCUAAUACCGCUCACCAUAGGAUGAGCCGGAGUGGGGUUAGGUAGUGGGAGUGGUAAAGGCUAACCAAGCCGACGAUCUCUAGCUGGUCUGAGAGGAUGACCAGCAAAACGGGGACUGAGACACGGCCCAGACUCCUACGGGAGGCAGCAGUGGGGAAUAUUGCGCAAUGGGGGAAAGCUGACGCAGCCAUGCCGCGUGAAUGAAGAAGGCCUGCGGGUUGUAAAGUUCUUUAGGUAGGGAGGCGUUAACUACAGAAGAAGCACCGGCUAACUCCGUGCCAGCAGCCGCGGUAAUUC